UGAGGAAUAUAGGUCAAUGGGCGAGAGCCUGAACCAGCCAAGUCGCGUGAAGGAAGACAGUCCUAAGGAUUGUAAACUUCUUUUAUACGGGAAUAACGGGCGAUACGAGUAUUGCAUUGAAUGUACCGUAAGAAUAAGCAUCGGCUAACUCCGUGCCAGCAGCCGCGGUAAUACGGAGGAUGCGAGCGUUAUCCGGAUUUAUUGGGUUUAAAGGGUGCGUAGGUUGUUCGGUAAGUCAGCGGUGAAACCUGAGCGCUCAACGUUCAGCCUGCCGUUGAAACUGCCGGGCUUGAGUUCAGUGGCGGCAGGCGGAAUUCGUGGUGUAGCGGUGAAAUGCAUAGAUAUCACGAGGAACUCCGAUUGCGAAGGCAGCUUGCCAUACUGCGACUGACACUGAAGCACGAAGGCGUGGGUAUCAAACAGG
rnacentral:rRNA from 1 species